GAUGAACGCUGGCGGCGUGCCUAAUACAUGCAAGUCGAGCGAACGGACGAGAAGCUUGCUUCUCUGAUGUUAGCGGCGGACGGGUGAGUAACACGUGGAUAACCUACCUAUAAGACUGGGAUAACUUCGGGAAACCUGAGCUAAUACCGGAUAAUAUUUUGAACCGCAUGGUUCAAAAGUGAAAGACGGUCUUGCUGUCACUUAUAGAUGGAUCCGCGCUGCAUUAGCUAGUUGGUAAGGUAACGGCUUACCAAGGCAACGAUGCAUAGCCGACCUGAGAGGGUGAUCGGCCACACUGGAACUGAGACACGGUCCAGACUCCUACGGGAGGCAGCAGUAGGGAAUCUUCCGCAAUGGGCGAAAGCCUGACGGAGCAACGCCGCGUGAGUGAUGAAGGUCUUCGGAUCGUAAAACUCUGUUAUUAGGGAAGAACAUAUGUGUAAGUAACUGUGCACAUCUUGACGGUACCUAAUCAGAAAGCCACGGCUAACUACGUG
rnacentral:rRNA from 1 species